rnacentral:lncRNA from 1 species
GUUGACGUAGAAUCUAUUCAAAAAGUAAGAGUUGAUAUGCAUUUAUGUUGUUGUUUUUCCUUGUGUGAGAUUUAUUUUACUGGGUGACGUCCAAUCUUGACUUUUUUUUUCUCGAAUUUUUCUUUGGAUUAUCACAUUAAUGCGUGAGUCUAUUUCCAAGGCAAGUGCUUAUUUUUUAUUUCUUUUUCUCUUCUUUUUUUCCGGUAGAAGCGGAUAUUUCUACACGAUUUUUCUUUUUCUUUUUCUUGCACUUGCCCUUUUUCCAACAUUUCUUCUAAGGAUUACCACCCUAAACUUAUCUUCUUGCACAAAUUAUACAUUACAACAAUCAUACCGAGCGAGGGUAGGAAGUGUUUGGCUUAUGGUUAACAUGACGGUUUACACAAACAAGGGGGUACAGGCUCAACGGGGUUAGCAACGGAUGAAUAC